GCCGGUAUAGCUCAGUUGGUAGAGCACCUGACUUGUAAUCAGGGGGUCCCGAGUUCGACUCUUGGUGUCGGCACCA
rnacentral:tRNA from 5 species